GGUUCAAGUAAAAGUCAUCAUGCAAGUCUGGUGCUCAUGAUAAGAGGUUGGCUUGCCUUGGGUGGACGAAUACGCCAGAUGGAAACACAAUGAUCCGCGGAAUACAACAUGUGAGAAAUGGCACUCUUAGAGAAAGCCUGGAAUUGAAGAAGGGCAAAUAUUGCAUUUUCAACAUGUGCCAACAUUAUGUAAAUGACCAUC
rnacentral:lncRNA from 1 species